GACGAACCGUGCGAACGUUAUUCGGAAUCACUGGCUUAAAGCGCGUGUAGGCGGGAUGGCACGUCGGUCGCUGAAAGCCCCCGGCUCAACCGGGGAAGUGGCGCCGAUACGACCACCUGAGGAGCGUAGGGGGACCUGGAACUUCCGGUGGAGCGGUGAAAUGCGUUGAGAUCGGAAGGAACGCCCGUGGCGAAAGCGAGGUCCUGGACGUUUACUGACGCUGAGACGCGAAAGCCAGGGGAGCGAACGGG
rnacentral:rRNA from 1 species